rfam:Oryza sativa Japonica Group DNA, chromosome 1, cultivar: Nipponbare, complete sequence.
AAUAAGUGUAGUUUUACAUUAUUCACGUUCAUGAUCGUUCGUCUUAUUUGAAAAUUUUUUAUAAUUAGUAUUUUUAUUGCUAUUAGAUGAUAAAACAUGAAUAGUAUUUUAUGUGUGACUAAAUAUUUUUAAUUUUUUCACAAUUUUUUUAAAUAAGACGGAUGGUCAAACGUUGGGCAUGAAUAUCUACAGCUGCACUUAUU